AUGGUUAGGCAGAAAUAUAAUGAGCACGUCCAUGAUUAUAUUAGGAGGUUUAGGGAUGUAAAAAACCGAUGUUUCAGCUUGACCUUAGCAGAAAAGGAUUUAGCCGGUCUUGCCUUUUCGGGUCUUCUCGCUCAUAUUAAGGAUAAACUAGAAGGGCAAGAAUUUUUAGAUGUUAAUCAAUUUUUGCAGAAGGCUUUGGCGCAAGAAAACCGGACUAAGGGGAUUAAACAAUAUAGCUGGUUUGAAGAUAAUAUUGAUAAUGAGGAGGAUAAUCAUGUAGGUAAUGCCUUCGAUUAUGAUAGUAAUUCGGCUAGUAAAGUUGACGUUAAUAUAUGUGUAGCCGAAUGGAUUCCAGCGCCAAAGUCAAAACCCUUCGCAUGUUCUGCUUUGAAACCCGCACCUGCUAGAAGAGAUGAAACUAAAUACACUUUUGAUGUUAGUAAGUGUGAUAUAAUUUUUGAUAUGUUACUACAAAAUAAAUUAAUUAGAGCGAGAAAGGGUCAUGUAAUUCCACCUACAGAAGAGUUGGGUAGGAGAGCUUAUUGCAAGUGGCACAAUUCUUUCUCUCAUGCUACUAAUGAUUGUAACAUGUUUUGUCAACAGGUGCAAUCGGCCAUUAAUGAAGGUUGA
rnacentral:rRNA from 1 species